AUUGAACGCUGGCGGCAGGCUUAACACAUGCAAGUCGAGCGGAGAUGAGGUGCUUGCACCUUAUCUUAGCGGCGGACGGGUGAGUAAUGCUUAGGAAUCUGCCUAUUAGUGGGGGACAACAUUCCGAAAGGAAUGCUAAUACCGCAUACGCCCUACGGGGGAAAGCAGGGGAUCUUCGGACCUUGCGCUAAUAGAUGAGCCUAAGUCGGGUUAGCUAGUUGGUGGGGUAAAGGCCUACCAAGGCGACGAUCUGUAGCGGGUCUGAGAGGAUGAUCCGCCACACUGGGACUGAGACACGGCCCAGACUCCUACGGGAGGCAGCAGUGGGGAAUAUUGGACAAUGGGCGGAAGCCUGAUCCAGCCAUGCCGCGUGUGUGAAGAAGGCCUUUUGGUUGUAAAGCACUUUAAGCGAGGAGGAGGCUACCUGGAUUAAUACUCUAGGAUAGUGGACGUUACUCGCAGAAUAGGCACCGGCUAACUCUGUGCCAGCCGCCGCGGUAAGAC
rnacentral:rRNA from 1 species